AAGUCGUAACAAGGUAACCGUAGGUGAACCUGCGGUUGGAUCGUUAACAAAUGAUUUGGUUUCAAACCAAAACACUGUGUGCAACUACAUCUGUCUCUGGUGGUUUUGUCAAAAUCUCUUGCCCAGUGCUCCCGAACAUCAAAUAUGUGCAGAUGUUCAUCAAAGUACGGGUUGAAAAUGGCGAGAGAAGUGACAACCACCGAAUGACCAAACCACUUGUGUAACUUAUUCAUGUCUGAAUCAUUCACAUUUUGUGCAAUGAAAAACAAUUUUUAACAACGGAUCUCUUGGUUCUC
rnacentral:misc_RNA from 1 species